GACGAACGCUGGCGGCAUGCCUAAUACAUGCAAGUCGAGCGAACAGAUGAAGUGCUUGCACUUCUGACGUUAGCGGCGAACGGGUGAGUAACACGUAAGGAAUCUACCUAUAAGCGGGGGAUAACAUUCGGAAACGGGUGCUAAUACCGCAUAAUAUCUUCUUCCGCAUGGAAGAAGAUUGAAAGACGGCUCUGCUGUCACUUAUAGAUGACCUUGCGGUGCAUUAGUUAGUUGGUGGGGUAAUGGCCUACCAAGACGAUGAUGCAUAGCCGACCUGAGGGGGUGAUCGGCCACAUUGGGACUGAGACACGGCCCAAACUCCUACGGGGGGCAGCAGUAGGGAAUCUUCCGCCAUGGGCGAAAGCCUGACGGAGCAAUGCCGCGUGAGUGAAGAAGGCCUUCGGGUCGUAAAACUCUGUUAUAAGAGAAGAACAAAUUGUAGAGUAACUGCUACAGUCUUGACGGUAUCUUAUCAGAAAGCCACGGCUAACUACGUGCCAGCAGCCGCCGCUG
rnacentral:rRNA from 1 species